rnacentral:misc_RNA from 1 species
AAGUCGUAACAAGGUUUCCGUAGGUGAACCUGCGGAAGGAUCAUUAUUGAAGCCUUUCGGGGGGGCUGUAGCCGUCGGACGUCUCGUCUGGCGCGCACGCCCUUCCACUUCAUAUCCCACAUACACUCGUGCACUAUAGGUCUUGCGUCCCCCUUUCAGGAAGGAGACGCCUCGCGAGAGCGGGGCCGGGGCCAUUUCCUCUCCAUUACAUCCAGUCUUAAGCAUGUCUAGUCGCUUCGGCGCAGUUGAUAAUACAACUUUCAGCAACGGAUCUCUUGGCUUUC